UACGGGGGGGGCAAGCGUUGUUCGGAAUUACUGGGCGUAAAGGGUUCGUAGGUGGCCAACUCAGUCAGACGUGAAAUCCCUCAGCUCAACUGGGGAACUGCGUCUGAUACUAGAUGGCUCGAGUGCAGGAGAGGAACGCGGAAUUCCAGGUGUAGCGGUGAAAUGCGUAGAUAUCCGGAGGAACCCCAGAGGCGAAGGCGGCGUCCUGGCCCAUUUCUGACGUUCAGACAUGGACAGCAUGGGAGCGAACGGG
rnacentral:rRNA from 1 species